rnacentral:ncRNA from 1 species
CUCGCCGCCGAGUCGAGUCCCGGUCCAUCGUGGGCCGUGGUCGAUGACUCGGGACGAGACGAGAUGUGGCCGCCUCGCGGCUGAAUCGCAAG